GGGGGUGUAUCGGUUUCGACAGGGAGUUAGCAGUAAUAUAAGCAUACCGUAGGCUCGUCUACGUUAAAACGGAACUUAAAAUUAAACGCUAAUAAUAGCAAACAAAUCGCUUACGCUGCUUAAUUGCGUAGCAGUCAGCCAAGAUAUCCGCAGGUCUUGAAUCUGGCUUCAUCUAUGCGGAAACUCUUUUAGCAGGGUUACGGGCUAGGGGAGUACAAGUAACUUGCCAAAGCGUAGUUUGUGAAUAGAAUACGCUUCGGGACAAAUAAAUAUUCACUAAGUAUGUAGAAAGUGUUAUGAAAGACUUUUUGGACAGGAGUUCGACUCUCCUCACCUCCACCA
rnacentral:tmRNA from 1 species